CCAAGAUAUUAAGGGCGAUUGGUGGAUGCCUUGGCACUAGGAGCCGAAGAAGGGCGUGGCAGACUACGAAAUGCUGCGGUGAGCUGUGAGCGAGCUUUGACCCGCAGAUGCCCGAAUGGGGAAAC
rnacentral:rRNA from 1 species